UUCCAGACUCCUACGGGAGGCAGCAGUGGGGAAUAUUGCACAAUGGGGGAAGCCCUGAUGCAGCGACGCCGCGUGAGUGAAGAAGUAAUUCGUUAUGUAAAGCUCUAUCAGCAGGGAAGAAACAGACGGUACCUGACUAAGAAGCCCCGGCUAACUACGUGCCAGCAGCCGCGGUAAUACGUAGGGGGCAAGCGUUAUCCGGAUUUACUGGGUGUAAAGGGAGCGUAGACGGCAGCGCAAGUCUGAAGUGAAAUGCCGGGGCUUAACCCCGGAACUGCUUUGGAAACUGUGCGGCUGGAGUGCAGGAGGGGUAAGCGGAAUUCCUAGUGUAGCGGUGAAAUGCGUAGAUAUUAGGAGGAACACCGGUGGCGAAGGCGGCUUACUGGACUGUAACUGACGUUGAGGCUCGAAAGCGUGGGGAGCAAACAGGAUUAGAUACCCGCGUAU
rnacentral:rRNA from 1 species